UACGAGGGGUGCAAGCGUUGUUCGGAAUGACUGGGCGUAAAGGGUUCGUAGGCGGGAAGACAAGUUCAGUGUGAAAUCCCCAGGCUUAACCUGGGACGUGCAUUGAAAACUGUUUUUCUUGAGUAUUGGAGAGGGUGGUGGAAUUGCUGGUGUAGGAGUGACAUCCGUAGAGAUCAGCAGGAACACCGGAGGCGAAGGCGACCACCUGGCCACAUACUGACGCUGAGGAACGAAAGCGUGGGGAGCAAACAGG
rnacentral:rRNA from 1 species